rnacentral:rRNA from 1 species
GCAUUAUCUACUUCUUCGGAGGAAAAAGAACACCAACGAGAGGAUUGCCCUAGUUACCGGCGAAGUGAAGCCGGCAACAGCUCAAAUUUGAAAUCUGGCUUCGGCCCCGAGUUGUAAUUUGCAGAGGAAGCUUUAGGCGCGGCACCUCCUGAGUCCCCUGGAACGGGGCGCCACAGAGGGUGAGAGCCCCGUAUAGUUGGAUGCCUAGCCUGUGUAAAGCUCCUUCGACGAGUCGAGUAGUUUGGGAAUGCUGCUCAAAAUGGGAGGUAAAUUUCUUCUAAAGCUAAAUACCGGCCAGAGACCGAUAGCGCACAAGUAGAGUGAUCGAAAGAUGAAAAGCACUUUGAAAAGAGGGUUAAAUAGCACGUGAAAUUGUUGAAAGGGAAGCGCUUGUGACCAGACUUGCGCCGGGCUGAUCAUCCGGUGUUCUCACCGGUGCACUCUGCCCGGCUCAGGCCAGCAUCGGUUCUCGCGGGGGGAUAAAGGCCCUGGGAACGUAGCUCCUCCGGGAGUGUUAUAGCCCGGGGCGCAAUGCCCUCGCGGGGACCGAGGUUCGCGCUCUGCAAGGAUGCUGGCGUAAUGGUCAUCAGCGACCCGUCUUGAAACACGGACCAAGGAGUCAAGGUUUUGCGCGAGUGUUUGGGUGUAAAACCCGCACGCGUAAUGAAAGUGAACGUAGGUGAGAGCUUCGGCGCAUCAUCGACCGAUCCUGAUGUUCUCGGAUGGAUUUGAGUAGGAGCGUUAAGCCUUGGACCCGAAAGAUGGUGAACUAUGCUUGGAUAGGGUGAAGCCAGAGGAAACUCUGGUGGAGGCUCGCAGCGGUUCUGACGUGCAAAUCGAUCGUCAAAUCUGAGCAUGGGGGCCGAAAGACUAAUCGAACCAUCUAGUAGCUGGUUACCGCCGAAGUU